rnacentral:misc_RNA from 1 species
GAACAUCCCUAAUGCAAUAAACUCAAAUGCAAACAAAAAAUUUAAGUAAUGACUUUUGAUGAUGAAAAUGACGAAUAUAUACACCAGAAAUUGUAUCGCAGCCGUGGCAAAUGUGCAAUCUACGCACGUCAAUCAGAAGUUUACGUCGAGGUGAAGCAGAAAUCCAAUGUUUAUGCUAGAACACCAGUUGCCGCAAUGGCUGGGAACGCCAACAACAACAACAGCACACUUGAUAUUGGACACGAUGUUUGGUUUCACAUAGCCAUGCAUCUAGAUCCGGAGGAUGUGCAGACCUUCGCCUUGGUGUGCAAACAGACCGCCAAGCUGGUUAACUCGAGAGCCUUCUGGCGCAACAUGUACAAACGCCACUGUCUGGCUGGUGCUUCCAGGAGUUGGAACCUGGAGCUGCCCGCCCAGCUGCAGUUGGAGCAAAUACGCAACUGUGAUACGAAAGCGCUGCGCUCGCACGUCAUCGAAGCGCUAUUCCACUGUUAUCGUCCACUUAAGAUGCGCCUGGAGCUGGGCUACAGCCUGGACUGGCUGCUGAACCGCACCUUUAUGUCCUGCUCGCAGAAGCAGUAUCAAUGCUUGUGGAUCAUGUGCUAUACACUUUGGAAUCAGCAGGCGACAGCCUCUAGGCAAUUGGAUGAAGUUGGGCACUUGGCGCAGGCGGACAACGACGUGGUUAACGAUUGGGAAGCGCUGGCCGAGGGCGAUGAGUCAACAGCACAGAUCGUACACAGCUCCGGCAAUCGACAUGAAGGUGUUGUUCUAUUGAUUGUGGUUUGCCGGCAAUUUAUACCGCUGCCGCUGCAGUUGCUCUACAACCAGCAACAGUCGCGCUUUCGCCUGAUGGCAACCCGGGAGCUGCUCUGCAGCAAUAUGCGCGCCAAGAACUUGGAGCUGGAUUUUGUCGAGGACAACUGCAAUAGCAACAGCCCGAGUGUGACCGUCAAAUAUGCACGCAUUGAAAAGUAUAAAGUGCUGCCCUGGUGGCAUCCAGAUUUCAAAAGGUUUCUCAAAUAAAAUUGAUAUGCGUCCAACAAAAAAAAACCAGAUAUAUCAGUAGGUCACGAAAUAUAUAAGGAAUGGAAUUAAAGAAUCAUGUGAUUGGAUGUGAACCCGAGUGGGACAUUAAACGGACCUUAUCUCAAGUGUCGCACAUAUACGACAAUUGUGCGCAUAUAGACAUGCCGGAUGACAGAUGUUGUACAUUGUUUGGAAGCUACCUACAUAUUGCAGAUAAACAACUUUGAUCGUACAUUUUUUUUAUCACUUCACAUCGAUGCACUGAUAGAAAACAGAAGCAAUAAGUACAUGUUGAUACGUAAUUUUAUAAAAGCGAUUGUUUUCUCGUUAUGAUAAAGGAUUAAAACUGGAAGAUAAUUGAUAUAUACACGUUCAGCUUAAACCUAAUUGUGAGUUACAUACGUACAAAAAACA